GUGGGGAAUCUUGCGCAAUGGGCGAAAGCCUGACGCAGCCAUGCCGCGUGAAUGAUGAAGGUCUUAGGAUUGUAAAAUUCUUUCACCGGGGACGAUAAUGACGGUACCCGGAGAAGAAGCUCCGGCUAACUUCGUGCCAGCAGCCGCGGUAAUACGAAGGGGGCUAGCGUUGCUCGGAAUUAAUGGGCGUAAAGGGCGCGUAGGCGGACAGCUUAGUCAGAGGUGAAAGCCCAGGGCUCAACCUUGGAAUUGCCUUUGAUACUGGCUGUCUUGAGUUUGGGAGAGGUGGGUGGAACUCCGAGUGUAGAGGUGAAAUUCGUAGAUAUUCGGAAGAACACCAGUGGCGAAGGCGACUCACUGGCCCAAUACUGACGCUGAGGCGCGAAAGCGUGGGGAGCAAACAGGAUUAGAAACCCUUGUAGUCC
rnacentral:rRNA from 1 species